AUUAAUUGAAGGGACAUUGGCUUUCUUUCUUGAGAAAGGGUUUUGUCUACGCUCCUAACUGGAUUGCUUUGUUCUUGAGGUGCAGUGUCAGAGCGGGCAGCGAGUAAGCAGAGAAGACUGAAUAGAAUGGAGAUCGCUGUUCGGGGUGCCGAGAUCCGAUGUAGGAGGAGCUUGACAGCUGUAACCAGGGAGUCAAAUGUUACAGUGGUGUGAGACACUGUACUGCCAUCUUUUGACGUGGAUCAGCAUGAUCGACUCUGCUGCCCCCGCCAGCUCUGGAAUAUCAUUUGCA